AAGAGGAUGGAGGAUGGAGGAUGGAGGAGGAGGAGGAAGAGGAGGAGGAGGAGGAGAAGACGAAGAAGAGAGGAUGACGAGAGGGAAAUAUCGAGAGGAGGCAGCACGAAUCUCAUGGGUUGGUUUCUUAACGAAGAAUUCGGCGGGGCUUUGCUCUAAGCAGGUGCCGAGAUCAAAGAAGUUGUUGCUCAAUCGAUUCAAGUAGUUCUGAAUCGAUCUAAUCACCUACCACCUCUCGUUCGGGAAUGAAAAAUCAAUCUCUCAGCCUUUUAAAAGAGAAAGAUGAACUAGUAGAAAAUCUUUAGUAUUUAAUACAUCGGGGACUUUACAUCGACGACGAAUAAUAAUAAGAGGAAGAAGAUAGUACUGGUUCACGAAGAAAAACUGUAUACAUUUAUCAACGACGAUAAUGGACAGGACCUAAGGGAUUCCAAGUACGAAGUGACGUAUUAAAUGUAAAAUCCAUGAAGCUCGAGAAAGAGAGAAAAAGGAGGAGAUAAAGGAGGAAAAAGAAGAAAAAGAAGAAGAAUAAAAGGAAGAAAAAGAGAGGAUAGAAACUUUCCUUUUUUAUUUUCUCGAACGAAGAGAUUAUUUUCUUGGGGAUUUAACGUGACUAUACGAGAAGAAGCCCUAGCUACGAACGUUACAUUUAGUUAUCAAUAACGUAUGCGUCGUAGCUUAUUAGGUUUUCUUCGCACGAUGUAACGUUUGUCAAUGUGCGUGGUAGGUAUCUACAAAACAUAUAUACAUACAUACAUACAUACAUAAAUAUAUACGUAGAUACAUACAUAGAUACAUACAUACAUAAAUACGAGUGAAGCUUUCUCCGUUGGUAACAAUAACAUCGUAGAAAUUUACAGGCCGUUGUUUAUUAAGCCCAUUCAAUCGCGAACGUUCGAACGAACGACGUGCUCGAUUAUGAAAAAUGAUCUAUCGUUAUACGAUCAACCCGAGAGAUAUCAGACCUUUCUAUCAGACGAAUGGUAAAACGGGCACAAAUGGUGGGUACCGUGUAAGUAUGCAUGUAUGCAUGUAUGUAUACAUGUAUGUAUGUAUGUAUGUAUGUAUGUAUGUAUGUAUAUAACAUGUUACAAUUUUCAAUUGCUAACAAAUGAAUAAAGAAUGAGAUGUACGCGACGAGAAUCUCUCACUCGAUUAUUAUUCUCGUUCUCUUUUAAUUGUCAGUAAUCUCUGAGGCAUCGACAACGAGUUAAUGACAUUCUUUUCCAUCCAUCCUGUCAAUAAAAAUGCCUUACCCAUUUUCCGCACAUCAUUGUUUUUCUCUUAUCUGUCUCACUGUAUCGUCUCUUUCAUUUUAUUUCGUUUCGCGUUUCGAAUCGCGAAGCAACGAUCAUUUUUCUUUUUUUUUUUUUUUUUUUUUUUUUUAUUAUUAUUAUUACUAUUACUAUUAUUAUUAUCUCGAUCGUUAAGACGAAGUGUACAUUUUAAUCUGGAAUAAUUGGCAAGUCGAGUAAAGAAAAAAUAGAAAAGAACAAAAAGAAAAGUAAGGAAAAAAAAAAAAUAAAAAAAGAUAGAAAAGAACGAAACAAAAAAUAAAAUUAAAAAAAUAAAUAAAAGGAUAAGUACGAAGAAAAACUUGACGAGUACCUUGAAGUCGAUUAAGGGAGUCUAAAUCGUAGGAUCGAGCGAUACCUAAAAGGCAUGAAAAGAUCGUCCAGGAAAGACCCUUUCCUCUGCGAACCGAACGGAUGUCCGAUGAAUGCACCGUAAAUCGAGAGAGAGAGAGAGAGAGACUGAUCGAUCGGCCAUGCGUAUCGAUUAGUAUCGAUACCCAUCGACUCGGCAGCUUCUCUCGCUUCCAGUCGAGCAUACACAAUAGACAGGGCUAAUGACUACCGGAGACAAGGGGUGACAUCGUCCAAAACUCCCCAUCUGUUUCAGCCACCAAAUCUUCCCAUGAUCAUAACGCGCGUUACCUAAUCGAUUAUAAGUUUCCGACUGCGAAAAAAAAAAAAAAGAAAAAAAAAUAA